GAAAGGCGAGAGGGAAGGUGAAGAUACAGGAGAUGAAGAAAUGGGCAAAUCCCAUUUCUUACAGUCACACACAGAAGGGGAGGCGGACACCUGGGCAGAAUUGAAGAGAUGGGGACGAAGAUAGAAAGGGUUACGUUGGGGGCUCCGAGUGUGUGUCAGGGGCUGGGGCGGAAAGCGGGGCGGCCCUUGGGUUUCCCUAGCGGUCCAGGUUCAUAGUCCAGUGCUUGGCUCCAGUCGCGCAGCUGUCCCUGGCAGCUGAGGAGGAGGAGGGGGCCGCGGGCGCUCCUCCGCUGGGUGGACCCCCGGAGCCGGCGGCGGCCUCGCCCUCGUUCUUGAGGUCUUGGAAGACCUGCGUGAAAAAGUGGGGGUCGGCAUUGAGCCGCAGCAUCUGCGGGCUGAGCCGCUGGAUGAGGCGCAGGCAGCGUUGCCAGAAGCGCUCCUUGUCGGGCUCCACGAGGAAGGGCUUGAGCGGGUAGGAGAUCUCGUUGCCCAUGUAGGAGUAGGCGAGGUAGAGACAGGUGAGGAAGGCGGCCUGCAGCUCGGCGGCCGACGCCAGCUCAUCCCCGCGCAGCGACUCCCGGCACAGCAGGUACACGAACACCAGGUUGGCGGGCGUAAUGAAGGCCUGGUCUUGCCAGCCCUGCAGCAGCAGCGAGCGGUCCACUCCGCGGAACCAGCCCACCAGCUCGCCCGGGCUCAGCUCCUUGAGACGGUAGCAGCGUCGGCACACGAAGUCGCCCAGGCAGCGCAGCAGCUCGCCGGUGGAAGCCUGCACGAUGACCCUCCGCGGCGAGCCGCCAGAUGCGGCUACCAGGCGCUUCCAGGAGUAUCUAGGGAAACAACCUGGUUAAGAGCUGGGCUCCGAAUUGCCAGUCCAAGAUGUACAAGAUGAAUAUGGAUGGAAUUUUAACGGACAAGCAGACAACAUAAUAAAAACAAAUCCACAAAGAAUGACA
rnacentral:lncRNA from 1 species